CAUCUAUUCAGAAAAAUUUAAUAUUUAAAUCAAUACUGUUGAUUUUAUUUAACAGUACUUAAGCUUUAAUUAAAUAAGGGUUUGAAUUUCUUUUACCAAAAUUUGAGUUGUUACAAAUGUUACCGCCUACGUUUUUAAACAUUGUACGCUUAUCUGUUAAGUCAAGAAGAUUUAACCGUUCAGGCUGAUAAGUUCCUUUUUUAAUUUUUCCUUAGAAAUGGAAACGGGUAUAGGAAUUGAUAUGUGAUUAGUUUUCACCCACGUGUUUGAUUGAGAAAUAAUGUGAAGAAAAAAAUUUCUUUGUUGUUUGGUUGAUGAGAAAUUGAAUUUUUUAUUUGUUAGGAGGAGACAUUAGUCACAAACGAUUGAUCCAAUAAAAUUUUCUUUUCAUUUUUCAUAAAGGUUUGAUAGGAAAUUAUCAAUGGAAAAAAAAUAUUUAUUAACAUUUUAAAGAUAAAUUCAACUACCUAUUAAUUACAUCGGAAUCAAACAUCUAAGAUGAAGUUGCAUAGUAAAAUACAUUUGCAUUUCCUCCAUUUCCUUCCAUCCAAACAAAUCCAUGCGGCCAUGGGAGUUGAAUUGCUGAAAUUUGCAACUACUGAAAUCUGACAUUCAGUUCGAUCAUUUAGAAUUUUAUUAUUCAAUCAAGGAGGAACUUUAGCAGUUACUGUUGGCAUAAAUGGCCUUCUUGCUUUUUCAGGUGCGGCCAUUAAGCUACGAAGACUUCAAGAAAGCAAUGGCUGUUAUCAGACCCAGUUUACAGAAGAGCAGGUGGGAAGAGCUUGAACAGUGGAACAUGGAAUUUGGCUCAAACUAAGUAGAUUAGUACAAGUAAAUAAUUACAAUUAUAGUUUAUGCAAAGAUCAGUGAAAAUAGCGGCAGCUCGCUGAAUCAUCUUUCUCUGCACGUUUAUCCAUGUAAGAAUCUUGAAUUAUUACAAUAGUUUAUUUGCAUCCAAGCAGAAUUUGAAGGUCCCAUGAAUGAAAUAUUUUCUUGUAGAUUCUUGUGGUUCAGGUAAACUGUAGGAUUGUUCUGCUGAAUUUUAGGACUGAAUUGAUUAAUGACAAGAAGGCUAUCGUUCUGUA